rnacentral:tRNA from 1 species
UCCCUUGUAGCUUAGUUGGUUAAAAAAAAUCUGCCUGCAAUGCAGGAGACCUGGGUUCGAUUCCUGGCUCGGGAA